rnacentral:rRNA from 1 species
GCUGGCGGCGUGGCUAACACAUGCAAGUCGAACGGAAAGGCCCCAGCUUGCUGGGGUACUCGAGUGGCGAACGGGUGAGUAACACGUGGGUGAUCUGCCCUGCACUCUGGGAUAAGCCUGGGAAACUGGGUCUAAUACCGGAUAGGACCGUGCUUUAGUGUGUGCGGUGGAAAGUUUUUCGGUGCAGGAUGAGCCCGCGGCCUAUCAGCUUGUUGGUGGGGUAAUGGCCUACCAAGGCGGCGACGGGUAGCCGGCCUGAGAGGGUGUACGGCCACAUUGGGACUGAGACACGGCCCAGUCUCCUACGGGAGGCAGCAGUGGGGAAUAUUGCACAAUGGGCGCAAGCCUGAUGCAGCGACGCCGCGUGGGGGAUGACGGCCUUCCGGUUGUAAACCCCUUCCGGCAGGGACGAAGCUUUAGUGACGGUACCUGCAUAAGAAGCACCGGCUAACUACGUGCCAGCAGCCGCGGUAAUACGUAGGGUGCGAGCGUUGUCCGGAAUUACUGGGCGUAAAGAGCUCGUAGGUGGUUUGUCGCGUCGUCUGUGAAUUCCCGGGGCUUAACACCGGGCGGCCC